CAGUGCACACAAUAUGAACUAAGUAAUAUAGAAAGAGGAGAGAUGAAAGAUUGAGAGUUUACCAAUAGUUUAACCUAGCAAGGUCAUCUUGUCUCUAGUGGAUACUUUUAUGUAUUUAAGUAAUAAGUAUGUUAUAUAUAUGUGCCACAUAUGAGUUUGUUAGGAACCUAUAAAAGCGGUGGUAGUAACUUCAUCGUAACGUCUUUCUUCGCCAGCCAUCUGACUGAGGAGAGGUUUAAGUUAUAUUUCUUCACAAAAACGAAGAAUUGAUCACCGUCCGCCGAUAUGUCGUACAAAACAGUAAUCUUGUGUUGUUUGCUACUUGCGGUAUUUUUUGUUGCAUCGGCACCAAUUGAUUCAGAUCCCACAGACACAAGAAAGAGAGAUGACAUUCCGUCAAUUGGUGAUCCAGAUGACUUCUUAAAGUUAAAACUAUUAAAAAUUAUACUUCUUAAAACAGCACUUUUAGGUUAAAAAUGUAUUAUAUUUUAAUCUAAACAUCGACUGAGAUAAUCUUAUCUAUAUUUAUUUUAUGUUUAAAAAUUCAUUAAAUAAUUUUUCAUAAUUGCAUUUACUAUACUAUGAUCAUAUACCUAUAAUAUUCUUUUAAUAUUUGAUUUUUGUGAUUUUUUUCUACAGAUUAUUGAUUAAUACGUUACGUUAAAAUUACCUAAUUAUAUUUUCAUAUAAUUAACA